GACGAACGCUGGCGGCGUGCUUAACACAUGCCAGUCGAACGGAAAGGCCCUGCUUUUGUGGGGUGCUCGAGUGGCGAACGGGUGAGUAACACGUGAGUAACCUGCCCUUGACUUUGGGAUAACUUCAGGAAACUGGGGCUAAUACCGGAUAGGAGCUCCUGCUGCAUGGUGGGGGUUGGAAAGUUUCGGCGGUUGGGGAUGGACUCGCGGCUUAUCAGCUUGUUGGUGGGGUAGUGGCUUACCAAGGCUUUGACGGGUAGCCGGCCUGAGAGGGUGACCGGCCACAUUGGGAAUGAGAUACGGCCCAGACUCCUACGGGAGGCAGCAGUGGGGAAUAUUGCACAAUGGGCGGAAGCCUGAGGCAGCAACGCCGCGUGCGGGAUGACGGCCUUCGGGUUGUAAACCGCUUUCGCCUGUGACGAAGCGUGAGUGACGGUAAUGGGUAAAGAAGCACCGGCUAACUACGU
rnacentral:rRNA from 1 species